rnacentral:rRNA from 1 species
UACGAAGGGGGCUAGCGUUGCUCGGAAUCACUGGGCGUAAAGCGCACGUAGGCGGCUUUCUAAGUCAGGGGUGAAAUCCUGGAGCUCAACUCCAGAACUGCCUUUGAUACUGGAGAGCUUGAGUCCGGGAGAGGUGAGUGGAACUCCGAGUGUAGCGGUGAAAUGCGCAGAUAUCAGGAGGAACACCAGCGGCGAAGGCGGCGCUCUGGGCUGGAACUGACGCUGAGGAGCGAAAGCGUGGGGAGCGAACAGG